rnacentral:rRNA from 1 species
UGGGGAAUAUUGCCCAAUGGAGGGAACUCUGAUGCAGCGACGCCGCGUGAACGAAGAAGGCUUUCGAGUCGUAAAGUUCUUUUAUAUGGGAAGAUAAUGACGGUACCAUAAGAAAAAGCCCCGGCUAACUACGUGCCAGCAGCCGCGGUAAUACGUAGGGGGCUAGCGUUGUCCGGAAUCACUGGGCGUAAAGGGUUCGCAGGCGGAAAUGCAAGUCAGGUGUAAAAGGCAGUAGCUUAACUACUGUAAGCAUUUGAAACUGCAUAUCUUGAGAAGAGUAGAGGUAAGUUGAAUUUUUAGUGUAGCGGUGAAAUGCGUAGAUAUUAAAAAGAAUACCGGUGGCGAAGGCGACUUACUGGGCUCAUUCUGACGCUGAGGAACGAAAGCGUGGGUAGCAAACAGG